rnacentral:rRNA from 1 species
GAUGAACGCUGGCGGCGUGCCUAAUACAUGCAAGUCGAGCGAACGGACGAGAAGCUUGCUUUUCUGAUGAUAGCGGCGGACGGGUGAGUAACACGUGGAUAACCUACCUAUAAGACUGGGAUAACUUCGGGAAACCGGAGCUAAUACCGGAUAAUAUUUUGAACCGCAUGGUUCAAAAGUGAAAGACGGUCUUGCUGUCACUUAUAGAUGGAUCCGCGCUGCAUUAGCUAGUUGGUAAGGUAACGGCUUACCAAGGCAACGAUGCAUAGCCGACCUGAGAGGGUGAUCGGCCACACUGGAACUGAGACACGGUCCAGACUCCUACGGGAGGCAGCAGUAGGGAAUCUUCCGCAAUGGGCGAAAGCCUGACGGAGCAACGCCGCGUGAGUGAUGAAGGUCUUCGGAUCGUAAAACUCUGUUAUUAGGGAAGAACAUAUGUGUAAGUAACUGUGCACAUCUUGACGGUACCUAAUCAGAAAGCCACGGCUAACUACGUG